AGAGUUUGAUCAUGGCUCAGAUUGAACGCUGGCGGCAUGCCUAACACAUGCAAGUCGAACGUAAACGAUGGAAGCUUGCUUCCAGGCGUCGAGUGGCGGACGGGUGAGUAACGCGUAGGAAUCUACCCAGUGGUGGGGGACAACCUGGUGAAAACCAGGCUAAUACCGCAUACGCCCUGAGGGGGAAAGCGGGGGACCUUCAGACCUUGCGCUAUUAGAUGAGCCCGCGUUAGAUUAGCUAGUUGGUGGGGUAAUGGCCUACCAAGGCGACGAUCUAUAGCUGGUCUGAGAGGACGAUCAGCCACACUGGGACUGAGACACGGCCCAGACUCCUACGGGAGGCAGCAGUGGGGAAUAUUGGACAAUGGGGGCAACCCUGAUCCAGCAAUACCGCGUGUGUGAAGAAGGCCUGAGGGUUGUAAAGCACUUUCAAUUGUGAAGAAAAGCCUGAGGUUAAUAGCCUCGAGUCUUGACGUUAACUUUAGAAGAAGCACCGGCUAACUCUGUGCCAGCAGCCGCGGUAAUACAGAGGGUGCGAGCGUUAAUCGGAAUUACUGGGCGUAAAGCGUACGUAGGCGGUUUAGUAAGUCAGAUGUGAAAGCCCUGGGCUCAACCUGGGAACUGCAUUUGAAACUACUGAACUAGAGUGUGGUAGAGGGAAGUGGAAUUCAGGGUGUAGCGGUGAAAUGCGUAGAUAUCCUGAGGAACACCAGUGGCGAAGGCGACUUCCUGGACCAACACUGACGCUGAGGUACGAAAGCGUGGGUAGCAAACAGGAUUAGAUACCCUGGUAGUCCACGCCGUAAACGAUGUCAACUAGUUGUUGGGAGCAUUGGCUUUUAGUAACGUAGCUAACGCGUGAAGUUGACCGCCUGGGGAGUACGGCCGCAAGGCUAAAACUCAAAUGAAUUGACGGGGGCCCGCACAAGCGGUGGAGCAUGUGGUUUAAUUCGAUGCAACGCGAAGAACCUUACCUACCCUUGACAUCAUCAGAACUUGUUAGAGAUAACUCGGUGCCUUCGGGAACUGAAUGACAGGUGCUGCAUGGCUGUCGUCAGCUCGUGUCGUGAGAUGUUGGGUUAAGUCCCGCAACGAGCGCAACCCUUGUCCUUAGUUGCCAGCACGUAAUGGUGGGAACUCUAAGGAGACUGCCGGUGAUAAACCGGAGGAAGGUGGGGAUGACGUCAAGUCAUCAUGGCCCUUAUGGGUAGGGCUACACACGUGCUACAAUGGUACAUACAGAGGGCAGCGACCUCGCGAGAGCAAGCAAAUCCCAUAAAAUGUAUCGUAGUCCGGAUUGAAGUCUGUAAUUCGACUUCAUGAAGUUGGAAUCGCUAGUAAUCGUGGAUCAGAAUGCCACGGUGAAUACGUUCCCGGGCCUUGUACACACCGCCCGUCACACCAUGGGAGUGGGCUGCAAAAGAAGUAGGUAGCAUAACCUUCGGGAGUGCGCUUACCACUUUGUGGUUCAUGACUGGGGUGAAGUCGUAACAAGGUA
rnacentral:rRNA from 1 species